CAGUCUUCAUCCGCGGCAACGUCGCCGGUGGAGUCAGCCUGUCUGAACACUCUUGUCUAUCUACUCCUAGUUGCUUUGGCGGGUCGUCUCCGGACCGUCAGGGGCCUCGGCCCCCGGCGUGUGCCCGCCAAAAGCCUCAAUUCAACCGCAACAACGUGUCUUGUCUUAAUUAAAACAAAAAAUAAACAAAACUUUCAACAACGGAUCUCUUGGUUCUGGCAUCGAUGAAGAACGCAGCGAAAUGCGAUAAGUAAUGCGAAUUGCAGAAUUCCGUGAGUCAUCGAAUCUUUGAACGCACAUUGCGCCCCCUGGUAUUCCGGGGGGCAUGCCUGUCCGAGCGUCAUUAUCAAUCUCAAGCCCGGCUUGAUGGUGGGUCUCACCGCCCCGGCGGUCGUCCUGAAAGACAGCAACGUGGCCCCGAACGCCGUGGAUGCAGCGAGCUUUCUAAGCACGCGUCCCGGCGUCUGCGGGCGACGUCUCAACCCCAACCUUAGGUUGACCUCGGAUCAGACAGGAUUACCCGCUGAACUUAAGCAUAUCA
rnacentral:rRNA from 1 species